rnacentral:rRNA from 1 species
CUGCUGCCUCCCGUAGGAGUCUGGGCCGUGUCUCAGUCCCAGUGUGGGGGGCCUUCCUCUCAGAACCCCUACGCAUCGUCGCCACGGUGGGCCGUCACCCCGCCGUCUAGCUAAUGCGCCGCAUGCCCAUCCGCCACCGGAUCGCUCCUUUGGCCACCGGAGGAUGCCCUCCGGUGGCGUCACGGGGUAUUAGGCCGCGUUUCCGCGGGUUAUCCCCCUGUGGCGGCCAGGUUGCAUACGUGUUACUCACCGUGCGCCGGUCGCCGG